AUGCAAGCUUCAAUACGAUACACUAUUAGAGUUUGGCGCAUGGUCAAAGAUUGGCUUGGUCUUCAGGAUGUGCAUCCUUCUGAUUGGAGUGACGCGAAUUCCGUCUUAGAGUGGUGGAGCCACAAUGCUAACAGGAAGACCCAAUCGCGAAAGCCACUUGCUUCCUUGAUGUUUCUCAUCUCUUGAGAAUUGUGGAAAGAGAGGAAUGCACGGAUCUUCCAUAACGAGGCCGUUCCAGUGGGUGUCAUUGUCACUAGGAUCAAAGACGAAACCUCGCUUUGGAGCAUUGCGGGGGCGAAGCACUUGAGUAAUGUAAUGUCGCGAGAGUGA
rnacentral:rRNA from 1 species